UCGAAGGCCGAGAUAAUGACAGUAGUCGAUCACGCAAAGCUCGGUCCACCCCACGGAAGAACACCUCUUGUUGAGUUGAUACGCCUCUGAAUAUACGAGCAUUUCGCUCGCGCCAGAGGGAAUAGAUGAUGACUUGAUUGAGAAACUUCAGCACCACAACCGCACGUCGAGCGUGAGGCCCCUGUAUCUGCUCGCACUUUUCCACCAUAUCUGAUAGGGAGGCCGGAGUAGUUGUCAUGUACCUGCAACAAAAACGAGACCAAGUAGCAACCACAAAGGAACAUUGAAAGAAUAGAUGGCUAAUCGAUUCAUCAGCUGAAGAACAUAGAACACAACCUGGUGGAACAUCCAGCCCCC
rnacentral:lncRNA from 1 species